rnacentral:rRNA from 1 species
AUUGAACGCUGGCGGCAUGCUUUACACAUGCAAGUCGAACGGCAGCACGGGUGCUUGCACCUGGUGGCGAGUGGCGGACGGGUGAGUAAUACAUCGGAACGCGUCCAGAAGAGGGGGAUAACGCAUCGAAAGAUGUGCUAAUACCGCAUAUGCUCUGAGGAGGAAAGUAGGGGAUCGAAAGACCUUACGCUUUUGGAGCGGCCGAUGUCUGAUUAGCUAGUUGGUGGGGUAAGGGCCUACCAAGGCGACGAUCAGUAGUUGGUCUGAGAGGACGACCAGCCACACUGGGACUGAGACACGGCCCAGACUCCUACGGGAGGCAGCAGUGGGGAAUUUUGGACAAUGGGCGCAAGCCUGAUCCAGCAAUGCCGCGUGAGUGAAGAAGGCCUCGGUUGUAAGUACGUCUUUCUAGUCGAGAAGAAAAGGACGUAGC